GACGAACGCUGGCGGCGUGCCUAACACAUGCAAGUCGAACGAAGCUUGAUCACGGAUCUCUUCGGAGUGAAGUGUGAUAUGACUGAGUGGCGGACGGGUGAGUAACGCGUGAGUAACCUGCCUUUCAGAGGGGGAUAACAGUUGGAAACGACUGCUAAUACCGCAUAACGUAUCGGAACCGCAUGAUUCUGAUACCAAAGCUGAGGCGCUGAAAGAUGGACUCGCGUCUGAUUAGAUAGUUGGUGGGGUAACGGCCUACCAAGUCGAUGAUCAGUAGCCGGACUGAGAGGUUGAUCGGCCACAUUGGGACUGAGACACGGCCCAGACUCCUACGGGAGGCAGCAGUGGGGAAUAUUGCACAAUGGGCGAAAGCCUGAUGCAGCAACGCCGCGUGAGGGAAGACGGUUUUCGGAUUGUAAACCUCUGUCUUCGGUGACGAAAAUGACGGUAGCCGAGGAGGAAGCCACGGCUAACUACGUG
rnacentral:rRNA from 1 species